UACAGAGGUCCCAAGCGUUGUUCGGAUUCACUGGGCGUAAAGGGUGCGUAGGCGGUCGGGUAAGUCUGAUGUGAAAUCUCACAGCUUAACUGUGAAACUGCAUUGGAUACUAUUCGGCUUGAGAGUUGGAGGGGGGACUGGAAUUCUUGGUGUAGCAGUGAAAUGCGUAGAUAUCAAGGGGAACACCAGUGGCGAAGGCGAGUCCCUGGACAACUUCUGACGCUGAGGCACGAAAGCUAGGGGAGCAAACAGG
rnacentral:rRNA from 1 species